GUAUUCAUCGUAACCACCAUGUCCUCCUCCGCUCAUCUUCUUAACUCCAGUCGAGUGGAAGCUUCUAG
rnacentral:sRNA from 1 species